rnacentral:rRNA from 1 species
AGUGAACGCUGGCGGUAGGCCUAACACAUGCAAGUCGAACGGCAGCACAGUAAGAGCUUGCUCUUACGGGUGGCGAGUGGCGGACGGGUGAGGAAUACAUCGGAAUCUACUUUUUCGUGGGGGAUAACGUAGGGAAACUUACGCUAAUACCGCAUACGACCUACGGGUGGAAGCAGGGGAUCUUCGGACCUUGCGCGAUUGAAUGAGCCGAUGUCGGAUUAGCUAGUUGGCGGGGUAAAGGCCCACCAAGGCGACGAUCCGUAGCUGGUCUGAGAGGAUGAUCAGCCACACUGGAACUGAGACACGGUCCAGACUCCUACGGGAGGCAGCAGUGGGGAAUAUUGGACAAUGGGCGCAAGCCUGAUCCAGCAAUACCGCGUGGGUGAAGAAGGCCUUCGGGUUGUAAAGCCCUUUUGUUGGGAAAGAAAAGCAGCAGGUUAAUACCCCGCUGUUCUGACGGUACCCAAAGAAUAAGCACCGGCUAACUUCGUG